UGCUUCAAGGUCUAUGUGAGGUUAUAAUUGGCCAGUACAUUUAUUGCAAGAAUUCAUAAUAUAAACUGAAGUAGUUUAUGCGGCUGUAUAUUUGUCAUUAUUCCGAUGGCCUCCUGGGCAUUGCUACAGAGCAACAACUCAACGCUGUAAUUUGAAUCACUUCAAGGCUACAGAUAUUUCUUUAUGUUGCUCCAUCACCCUUAUCUCCAUGGAUGCAGCAAUGUGUAGGCUCACAGAUGUUAAAGUCUGUCUACUCUACAAACCAGGGUACAUCACACCAAAGUUACCUGUUGUAUAUCCAAAUAUGGAUUCUUGGAACAAAUAAACUGACAGCUUGACUGAAUGCAGUAGCUGAGGAUUAUUCAUUCCUUAACAUUUUUGCCACUGUACAGUGUGACAAUGGUAAGGAAACCAACCAUAACUUGGGCAAAGCUAGAGUAUUUUGCUAGUAAUAUUUUAAAAGGUGGUUCUUCCCCCCAACAAAACACAUUACAUCUCGCUUACAAAGAUCAAUGGUUUUUACUGGACUUCUCACAGCAGUGACUACAGGUAAUAAUGAAGUGGUCCUUUCAUACAAUUAUUUUCAUGUAAAUAACUGUUAUGACUUUGUAUUUAUAUUUAUACUUGUAUUGGAAAUCAGUAUUGUACUUUUUAUUAUGAUACGUUCUAUAUUCUGGGCUUAGGUCUAUGAAGCAUCUGUGCAGUGUGAACGAGUUCUGUCCUAUGCAGAGCAGAGCCAUCUGUGUUGUAAUGCUGUGAAUUUCAGACAGCUUGAUGUUUUAGAGGAACAUACUAACUCCAUCUUCAGGGUUGAAGAGUAGGCCACACAAGAAACCAGCAGAAGCAUGCUGCAGCUUGCUGCCUGUUUCCUGACUGGCUUAUUUUUCAAACCUUAAGACAGAGUCAAUAUGUUCAUCUGAAAUGCGAGAUUCUCUCUGAACUAGUGUUUCAACCCAGAAAAUGGUACUCUUCAUCAACAGUUCAUGAGACCAACUAAUU